rfam:Betaproteobacteria bacterium RIFCSPLOWO2_12_FTLL_65_14 rifcsplowo2_12_scaffold_3208, whole genome shotgun sequence.
CAGCGGGUGGAAGUCCCGCCCGGGUAAGCGCCGGAGCGCCCGGUAGCAGGGUCCAGUCGCGAUUCGAGAGGGUCGUGGCCGAGCGGACCGUCGAGAGCCUCAUAGGAGGGAGCAACGAAGCAGGCCGCAACACAG